CUACGGGCCGCAGCAGGCGAGAAAACUUUGCAAUGUGCGAAAGCACGACAAGGUUAAUCCGAGUGGUUUGUGCUAAACGAACCUUUUGACAGUCCUAGAAACACUGUUGAAUAAGGGGUGGGCAAGUUCUGGUGUCAGCCGCCGCGGUAAAACCAGCACCUCAAGUGGUCAGGGUGAUUAUUGGGCCUAAAGCAUCCGUAGCCGGCUCUGUAAGUUUUCGGUUAAAUCUGUACGCUCAACGUACAGGCUGCCGGGAAUACUGCAGAGCUAGGGAGUGGGAGAGGUAGACGGUACUCGGGUAGGAAGGGGUAAAAUCCUUUGAUCUAUUGAUGACCACCUGUGGCGAAGGCGGUCUACCAGAACACGUCCGACGGUGAGGGAUGAAAGCUGGGGGAGCAAACCGGAUUAGAUACCCGCGUAGUC
rnacentral:rRNA from 1 species